rnacentral:rRNA from 1 species
AUUGAACGCUGGCGGCAGGCCUAACACAUGCAAGUCGAGCGGAUGAAGGGAGCUUGCUCCUGGAUUCAGCGGCGGACGGGUGAGUAAUGCCUAGGAAUCUGCCUGGUAGUGGGGGACAACGUUUCGAAAGGAACGCUAAUACCGCAUACGUCCUACGGGAGAAAGCAGGGGACCUUCGGGCCUUGCGCUAUCAGAUGAGCCUAGGUCGGAUUAGCUAGUUGGUGGGGUAAAGGCUCACCAAGGCGACGAUCCGUAACUGGUCUGAGAGGAUGAUCAGUCACACUGGAACUGAGACACGGUCCAGACUCCUACGGGAGGCAGCAGUGGGGAAUAUUGGACAAUGGGCGAAAGCCUGAUCCAGCCAUGCCGCGUGUGUGAAGAAGGUCUUCGGAUUGUAGAGCACUUUAAGUUGGGAGGAAGGGUUGUAGAUUAAUACUCUGCAAUUUUGACGUUACCGACAGAAUAAGCACCGGCUAACUCUGUGCCAGCCGCCGCAGUAA